rnacentral:piRNA from 1 species
UGAGUGCAUUGAAGCCAUCUUGUAGGAGAC